rnacentral:rRNA from 1 species
GGGGGGCUUCGGGAUUAUUGGGCGUAAGAGCUCGUAGGCGGUUUGUCGCGUCUGCCGUGAAAGUCCGGGGCUCAACUCCGGAUCUGCGGUGGGUACGGGCAGACUAGAGUGAUGUAGGGGAGACUGGAAUUCCUGGUGUAGCGGUGAAAUGCGCAGAUAUCAGGAGGAACACCGAUGGCGAAGGCAGGUCUCUGGGCAUUAACUGACGCUGAGGAGCGAAAGCAUGGGGAGCGAACAGGAUUAGAUACCCUGGUAGUCCAUGCCGUAAACGUUGGGCACUAGGUGUGGGGGACAUUCCACGUUUUCCGCGCCGUAGCUAACGCAUUAAGUGCCCCGCCUGGGGAGUACGGCCGCAAGGCUAAAACUCAAAGGAAUUGACGGGGGCCCGCACAAGCGGCGGAGCAUGCGGAUUAAUUCGAUGCAACGCGAAGAACCUUACCAAGGCUUGACAUGAACCGGUAAGACCUGGAAACAGGUCCCCCACUUGUGGCCGGUUUACAGGUGGUGCAUGGUUGUCGUCAGCUCGUGUCGUGAGAUGUUGGGUUAAGUCCCGCAACGAGCGCAACCCUCGUUCCAUGUUGCCAGCGCGUUAUGGCGGGGACUCAUGGGAGACUGCCGGGGUCAACUCGGAGGAAGGUGGGGACGACGUCAAAUCAUCAUGCCCCUUAUGUCUUGGGCUUCACGCAUGCUACAAUGGCCGGUACAAAGGGUUGCGAUACUGUGAGGUGGAGCUAAUCCCAAAAAGCCGGUCUCAGUUCGGAUUGGGGUCUGCAACUCGACCCCAUGAAGUCGGAGUCGCUAGUAAUCGCAGAUCAGCAACGCUGCGGUGAAUACGUUCCCGGGCCUUGUACACACCGCCCGUCAAGUCACGAAAGUUGGUAACACCCGAAGCCGGUGGCCUAACCCCUUGUGGGAGGGAGCUGUCGAAAGUGGGACUGGCGAUUGGGACUAAGUCGUAACAAGGUAACCAAGG